UGAUCUAUUUUCUUUUAGGUCUGCGUCCAAACACAACAGCAUCAGGGACUAGAGCCGAAACUGUUGCAUCCACCCAGACGCGUUUGGUCGGGACUCUGCACAUCACCUGCUGUGAGAAACGCCUCGAGGGAGCAGCGACACGCUCUGAGGAACACAAAUGAGAUGACACAGAGAGCGGGGAUCCAGGACGCCAGCGCUUCCAUUGAAAUGCUCACACCCGAAUCUAAAAGCCACUCGCCGUUGGCUGCGAGCAGCGGCGUCUCGGCGCGAUGAUGGAUCGGGUCAUCUGCUCCGGUCCCGGGGCUUCGACUGUGCAGCGUCAUCUUCAUCAGACGACGACCGACAAGACGUCCAUCAUGGCAAAGUCCCGCCGCCGGGCCCCCGGUCCCUGAUGGAGCAAAGCCUUGCUUAAAUCAACACGUGGGCAGCAACUUCAUCAUUUUGGCUCGUUUAGAGCUGGAGACAGAUGGAAGC